rnacentral:rRNA from 1 species
UACGGAGGGGGCUAGCGUUGUUCGGAAUUACUGGGCGUAAAAGCGCGCGUAGGCGGACCUGCAAGUCGGGGGUGAAAGCCCGAGGCUCAACCUCGGAACUGCCUUCGAUACUGCGGGUCUCGAGUCCGGGAGAGGUGAGUGGGAAUUCCUAGUGUAGAGGUGAAAUUCGUAGAUAUUAGGAAGAACACCAGUGGCGAAGGCGGCUCACUCGGCUCGGUACUGACGCUGAGGCGCGAAAGCG